GACGAACGCUGGCGGCGUGCUUAACACAUGCAAGUCGAACGGAAAGGCCCUGCUUUUGUGGGGUGCUCGAGUGGCGAACGGGUGAGUAACACGUGAGUAACCUGCCCUUGACUUUGGGAUAACUUCAGGAAACUGGGGCUAAUACCGGAUAGGAGCUCCUGCUGCAUGGUGGGGGUUGGAAAGUUUCGGCGGUUGGGGAUGGACUCGCGGCUUAUCAGCUUGUUGGUGGGGUAGUGGCUUACCAAGGCUUUGACGGGUAGCCGGCCUGAGAGGGUGACCGGCGACAUGGGGACUGAGAUACGGCCCAGACUCCUACGGGAGGCAGCAGGGGGGAAUAGUGCACAAUGGGCGGAAGCCUGAUGCAGCAACGCCGCGUGCGGGAUGACGGCCUUCGGGUUGUAAACCGCUUUCGCCUGUGACGAAGCGUGAGUGACGGUAAUGGGUAAAGAAGCACCGGCUAACUACGUG
rnacentral:rRNA from 1 species